GGAGUAAAACACCUCCCUUACCACCCACACAUCCACCCACCUCCCCUCCACCCCCCUUUGUUUUCUUUAUCAUUCCUCUGACACAAUGCAAUGUCUUCACAUCACAGCAUUUUUCCAAUGGGAAUUUGGGGAUGGCGUUGUUUAAACGUCGCGGCCGGCUUGGACAGGCUAGGGUUAUUUCUCAUUUAGUAAAGAUCACAGACGCUGUAAAUGCUCCGGCGGCAUGCCGUGAAUGCCAACACCAGCAUGAUUGGCAGCUUGACGGCAGCGGCAGCAUUUGCAUGGCAUUUAGCUGGGCGGGCGAUGGCCACCCCUAACACCAAGGUGGGUAAAUAAGAUGACUUCUCUGUUCACACAAUGUACACAUGCACAAACACACACACGCUUUAUGCAAUCUCGCUUCUCAACAACCCCCAGCCAUCUUGGCCUGCCAGACCUAGAGUCAGUCAUAAUUGUGUGGCAUUUAGGCUGAGGAAAGGGACAUGGAGGCGUGUGGGCGACUGGACCACUGAAAAGUCUGAGCCUCUUCUUUAUUUGAGGCUGUUGUUUGAGAAUGAUUACCUGUAAUUUCCCUGAGCUUAAAAAGGUGGACUUUAAAUAUAAAUGUAGGGUUGGACCGAGCUUGCAUAUUGGUGUUGAAUAAAAUGUUUGUAAAUGGAAUUCAGGCACUUCGCUUAGCAAGAACAUAUGAAAUAUCUUCAUACUCGUAAAUAACCUGAAUAUUUAAGAUGCACCUUUUUUUACAUCAACCUACAACCACAGUUUAAAGCGGCAGGGAUCAAUGUUUUAGAUCAAAUGAUGGGCUGUGUGUAAUGGCAGGAGUUUCUAGUAGUGUUAUCCAGUGCACAUUAUAAGAUAAUGAAGCAGGUUUUUGGUAUAAUUCCUCCCUCUCCACAAUCUCUCCACAAAAGUCAGCAGGGUCCUGAUCUUUUUUGGAUGAUUGAGUUGUGACCAGCUUGAUCUGGUGCUCAUACAGUGUGUGAUUUUGUUUUGGUUCACACAGUUGUUUGUGUUUUUCUCAAGGGAACAAAAAGAGAAAUGAACUAAUUUUGAUAUUUCUGCUUGGAAUAUACAAGAGAGAUUUAAGUUUGAUGUAUGCUGCCAUUAAAAAAAUUGUCUGAGGAUCUAACUUGUAUUCUGAAUGUGCAGGACUCUAUCUCUCGAUCUUGCAUUUCGUUGAAUUAUUUAUUAGUUCAGUUGUGUAUUCCCAGCUUAAAAACAAAGUGAUCAACAGCCCUGGAGACUGUGCAUGUACUGGCACACUAUUCUCUAUCCAGACAGUACAGUUUGACAUGUUGCAGGAUACUGCAUAGAUAACUUCUUUUAACAAGCUUAAACACAGCACAAGUAGUAGCAGCUCUCCCUCUGGUGGAAUCAAUCAAAUCUAUUUGGGCUUCUCACCUUCUUUGUAUUAUCAGGCUCGGAUAACAGCCUCUAUGAUCCAGUGGUGCAGGUACUGUUUAGACAGUUGCUUCCUCUGGACAGGACAAGCAGUGCAGGCAAACAUCUGGUUGCAUAAGCACAAGCUGGCUGGGGACAGCGAGCACAGAGCAUCUAUCCAGUGGAGGCAGAAGUAUGAAGGGAAAAGAGCUUUAAACAGCUAACAACUGAUGACGAAGCUUCAGUGCAGAGCCCGCGGUGCAAAAUGAAAGUAGUGAAUGCCGCCUAUAAAGCCUGCUACCUAUUUUUCUUUUUGAGAAGACAUUUUUAUUGAAGAUAUAAAAAUUGAAAGGAUAAAUAUUAAACCAUGAAUAAAGGAAUAAACAUCAAUAGUAUCUUAAUGCGAAAUAUCUUCAGAUCUGAAAAUGCACUUUUUCAAACUGGAAUAGGAGCUAAAAGAAGACUUAAUAACUCAAACACAACACUUAAGGUAAACAGACAGAGAUGCACAAGAUACUGCAAACUCCCACCUAUUAGAUCCAAACAUAUUACCUGAAGAAAGUACGUGUCCUUGCAUCUUUUAUUCAUAGACCCUUCCAGUAAUACUUGUAUUGAGAUAUGUCUCUGAUUUGUAAGUGUGGAAAUGAUAUUUGGACAAAAUAAUACCAAUAGAUAAUACCAAUAAUGCACCUCAAGAUAAUUGAUGUCUUUUUCUUUUUUUACUUUAAAAAGAAACAAGGUGUACUCAUAGUGGCAAACCAUCUCCUUUUGAGCUCAUGUGACAACCUUGAUUGCAACAAUUUACACAUCAAGCAGUUGCAGAACAGCAUUUCACGUGUGAAAUCAUUUUUUCUUUUUAAUGUCCAUCAGUCUAUGAUAGGUUUAUCUGACACUGGAGUUGCAGUUUGCUCCACUUUGUUCAAUGGCGUGUUACUGACUUGUUGUUCAGCUUUGUGGAUUUUUUCCCCUGUGUUAUUUAUAUCAUUCUGUUAAAAAAGAAAAUCUUAACAGCAGUCACUGUGAGGCAAAAACCUCACAUUUGCUGAUAUUGAGUAAAGACACAGGAAAAAUGAGUGAAGUGAUUAUAGGAACUGAUGAUGGAAACUGCAAAAGAUAGUCAUUGUGCCCAUUCUUAUUCAAGGAUCUUCAAAAAAUUGAAUAUUUGUCAUGCAUUUAUUUAAAAAAACAUUUACAAGAUGGCUGUUACUAAACUUGGUGUGUUUUCAAUCAAAACAAUUUUCAGCUAAAUUAGCUCCUUGAAUUGUUUUGUAUCAUGUUGUAUUGUGUGGUUUCUCAGUAAGAGCUUGUUUAAAUCAAAAUAAGCUCUUGGGUUUGAAUGUUGGAUCCCCCCGGCAAACUUUUGUUGGGUACCCCUCCAAGUUUUCAUUAUAGUAGAGGAAGGUCAACUACACAGUCUAUUUGACAACCUAGUGAAGAGCCCCUGAGCCUAAAACAUUUUUACUAGUACACUUAAUACUUGAAGUAUACUAAAUAAUACCACAGGAAAAUAAUCGAGGUUACUAAAUCAGCAUUGUUUGAUAGACGUGACCUUUUCAUUCCUUAUUGUAGUGUUUUAUAGUGUGAUAUGUCAAUGUGCUCAUGGACCGAAUGGGUGUUUCUUGUUGCGAUGGUUGUACUUUCAAAGGGAGUGAUAAGCAAUUAAGACAAGCUAUUUACAUUUCUUCCUCUUCUUUACUUCAUUAACUCUACUCUGAAGACAUCUAAAUUGAAAUCACUGCACAUUCACUGACAUAUAUUGUCCUACCCCCAGAGCAGGAGAUGUGUUUAUAUGUCACAAGUCAUAUUAACCUCUCCAAGUCAUCUUAUUUUCUAAUAUUUUACCCCACUGCAGAGCAAUCACACGCUCACAUUUACACACCGUCCCUCAACUUUUAUUCACCCGAAAUGAUUCUGAAAUGACAUUACGGGUGACAGCCAGGCAAUAACAAAAGUACAAAAACUUCUUUGAAAAACAAUAAAUCAAUAAGCCUCGCCAACAUAUCCUGUUACAUCCCCGACUCCUUGACACCUGGAGCUCAUUAAACACAGCCUAACGUCAACUUAGAAGAAGGAGAGUACACAGAGGCCUCGCCUUUUCACAGCCUAUCACAAUAAGAGCUGCUGAGCAACCUUGAUAUAUUGUAUAUACUAGAAAUAAAUAUGAUUGUCCUUUAAUCUGAUUUUAUUAUACUGGGGACUCCCGCUGGCAAAUCUACUGAGGGCUGAUAGCCGGUAAUCUUAUUGCAGGGAGCGCGCUGUGUUUCAUAUCCCCUUCUUGAUGGUGUUUUAUCAUGUCAGGGCUAUUAUUGUUCCUAUUGGUGUAUGUGUUUCUGCAUUUAUAUGCGCUGGUGUAUACAACCCAAUAAAUCGAGUUAUUGCACAUUCUUGAGCGUCUGUUUCUGUUUGCAUAUGUACGUGUGCAUGUUUGCGUGCACCCUGAAGUCCCUCCAGCUCGGAUGUGGGUGCUAAUUUUUGCCCCCUCAGUGUGCCGGGCUGCUUUGAGGGUUCCUCUCUGUUUAUGAACCGAGCAUAUUGACCCAAUUUGUGGCCUUGGAUCUCACCCCCCACCCCCUUCUUUUUUCUUUUUUCUCUCCUCUCGCUCUCCCUCUGCCUCUCUCUCUCUUUGUCCACCUGCUGGGGCAUAUUGUGAGCCUGCACCACUGUAGAAGCGGGUUCACUCAGACUGAACUAAACGCCACACGCAUCAUUGAGCAGCAUUACCAAGCUCUCCCCGCUCAUCACUCUCAGUGGAUGCUGCAGGUGUGUGUGUGUGUGUGUGUGUAUGCAUGUGUGUGCUGUACAGUAGAGGGCUCAGUUAACUGAAAGGUCUUAUAAAUCAACCUGUCUGUUCACAACCUCUUACCUGUUCCGCUCUCACUCCCCCUUCUUAUCCUUACACCUCCUCUUUCUCUUGUUCUCCCUCCAUCCCGACCUCCACCUCUCUCCUUAGUGUUGUGCAAUCCGUCUUUUAACACUCCUGCCUCCUGAUAAAUCACUGUCUUGGAGCAGGUCAGGGGGAACGUGGCCCUCUACAGAUUUGUCACAUCUAUGCAUUAGUGUUUUGACUUCAUUUCAAUGCACUGAAUCGCCACGGUGAUUUGAAACUUUUUCAGCUAGUGUGUAUUUGUGUGCAUGCAUGUGUCACAGGUAUUUGUGUGAAUGCAUGCACUACAGUAUGCAAGUAGUGACUGCAGGUUCUGGCCAGUACUGAUCUCCUUGUCCUGCUGAAUGGUGGCUGAUUGAGACACAUGGACUGCCUUUGUGCUCUGAUCUAGUUGUCAUUGAUUACCUAUCAAGGUUUUUGAUUGCAUCCUGGAAGUAAUUCUUUUAAAUAAGCCCUAAUGGCCUCAAAUCUGGGCUGAUGACGACCUUGGAGAGUCCAAUUGUGGAUCCAUUUAGGCCCUUUCAGACCCCUCGAUGUACGCUAUGAAACUCUGGCUCAUAGCUCACUCCCCCUCCUCUACACCACUCCUACAACCUUUCAGCCUCAUGUCGUGCCAGUUCCACAUCAAUACGCUCUGUUACUUGCAUGCAAGAACACCCUGACAUCGAAAACCUGCUUUUAACUUGGAUGUAGAGAUCCUACACAUCACUUAUAGCACACACAGGUCUCGAUACAGAUUAGAGGCGCUGAUUGUGACAGCAGGUGAUCUGGCUAGAUGAGGGAGACAGCAAGGAAGAUAACGCAGACGCAAAUAAGAGUGUAAUCCUGCUUUUAACUGAAAAAGACAAAGUAAGUGGGUGAAAGCCCAGGUUUUGAAGAGAGAAGGAAACGAAACGAAACCAGGAAGAAAGAGGAGGGAUGACAGAUCUGUUAGGGAUGAGGAGGAGGGUCGUCAGUAUGUCAGGCUGUGUUAUUAUAGUCUGAGGGCUGGAUGGAGGCAUGAGAAGGAGGACGAUGAGGAGGGGAGGGGUUGCAGCAGACAGGAAGAGGGCUCGCCGUCUAAUCCUCCAAUUUUCCUACAUUACUGUUCCCCUCCUCCUCCUCCUCCUCUUCCCCUCCUCUGUCCAACUCACCCCCCUUCCCCUCCUCUCCUUUCCUGCUGCCAGACCUGUCGACAAAUGAAACUGGAGAUAGCGGCAGCUUCACAGAGAUUGACUCGAAGGAGUAAAACACACAGAGCAGACAGAGAGGGAGACAGAGACCUCCUGCUCCUCUAACAACAUAAAUGUACCUUCAAAACCCAAGUGGCUUUGUCAUCUGUUGUUCUUUGCUGGACUAAAAAACAUAAAUCUAUACCAAGCCGGUGCCUACAUGUGCUUUUUGCAAACUUUCCUCCACUUAACUUAAACGGCAAACCCCAGCGGUCCAGCAGGGGAAGGAUAAUGCACCUACUGAUUGCAGAGAAAAUGCUGCGUCUCGUUGUGAAAGCGGCCCCUGAGUUUUGAUCCCUAACUUCCUGCUGAUUGGGAGACAAAUCUGAUGACAGAAUUAUAAAACGAUGAGAUUGUUUCACACAAGGAAUGUUUGAAAAGCUUACUUAGCAGAAGUAAAAAGCAAAGCCGACAAACAAGGUUCCUCAGCCAGACAAAGCUGCUUGUUAACAUACUAAAUCUUGUUUGUUCAUGGAUUUAUUGACACAUCCUUCCUUGGAUUGAAUCUUUAUUUUUAUUUAAAAAUACUCCAGCCCCGCUUGUUCUGGUCUCUGCUUAGCGAAUCACUGCUGUUGAUUAAAUCUGGGCUUUAAGAGUUCCUAAUAAGGCUGACCUUUAGAGGGAUGAUAAAUACAAUUAGAACUAUGUUAAUACUGUAAAAGUUGAUUUUCUUGGAAAACAAAAUCUGUCUCAACGGCACAAGGCACCACUCUUGAAUCUUUUCCUCUCAUGUGAAGGCAGCUGAUAAAAGCUAACUGCUCCAAACCAACUCCCUCCAACUCGCCCCAUCUUAACCUUUCUUACUUUUCCUGCUAACAAGCCGAUGUGACUUUCUAAUUACUUUCACCGCAAAGGUUUUCACAAUAUUCUUAUCCUGGUCUCUUCACCAGUUUUUAUGAUUUCCAUGUCCCGCCCUCUUGAUUGAUUUGCAUUCCAAUCACUUCUCAUUGGGCGAGGCAGAACCCUGACUGAGUGGGACUAAUUUGCCAUGCUAAUGAGAUGGCUCCGACAAACAGAGCCAGCUGGAGACCAGAGUAAAUGAUCCUGUCAUCAGUCAAGAACACAAACAUGGCUAACAGCUAAUUAGCUCGCGGCAGUUUGUAGAGGUGACAUUCUAUCUGAUCUGUGCCGCAGUGGAAAAGAAGACCAAAAAAAAGAGGACCGGGGAACAAUAAAGGAGACAGGAGAGAGGAGGAGGGGAGGUCUCAACCCAGUGAUGAAUAUCAAUUUUUGUGUUUGUCCAAACACACACUUUUGUGGCAUUGGAUGCAACACACACACACACACACACACACACACACACACACACACACACACACACACGGAUGCACAUCUAUAACUUCCCCCUGCAUUGUGCCGUUGCAAUGAAGAUAAGAGUGAGUGUGUGCCAUCAGUUUGAGGGGAGAAAAUAUGCUAAGCAGACAAUCAGAGGUGUACCCCCCGGCGCUAAACAGCCAAUCAUGGCUGUCCCAGUGUGUGUCGCCAGCCAGCAGGAGGCAGAAUUAGUCCUGGUUAGCAGCCAGAGCCCCGCCGAGUGGCUGAUUAGUCUUUUAGACUGAGGAGGAGACAGAAUGUUAAAAGUCCAACCGCCUAUCCCAGACAGCUCUGCACACAAGACAAAGGCCAUUUUAUCCUGAAAAGGGAAGUUAGCAGCCCUAUUGUUGUCUCAUGAAUGCAAUACACUCAACUGAACAAUAUUGACUUACAGUGGGGCUACGCACACGCUAUUUUGUGAAUUAUUGUGAAGAUUACAGGGCAAACUCUGGGGAGUUUAGGUGGAGUAUAAGCCUUUGUCGAUGUAUUUGUGCUAUUACAGGCAUAAACCCACUGCAUCCAUCAAUAAUGUCUGCAAUGGGCGUUAAUGUAAUCUUGCACAGGUUAUCUUGCAAACAUGGAGGCAGGCUUUAUUCGUUUGUGUCAGAUAACAUGUACCUUAUGAGCUACACUAAGCUUGAAUUUACAAGUUCAAGAAGCUUUUUAAUAAUGUAUUUAUCUGUCUAUUUAUCAACAAUUCUAUCUGUGUAAGAACUGACAUUUCACUUUGGCACAUAAUGUGUAAUAAUGCAUCAUAAUAAUAAUCAUAAUAUUGAUAAUAAAACAGUGAUGGCAAAGAUUGUCAUACAAAUAUGAUACAAUAUGUCAUAAAAACCCAGAACUUUCAUUAGGAAGAUUGUGGUUUCUGACCAACAUGAGGCCAACUUCAAAGUUACAGUUUGACACACAAAGAGGAAUUUACUUUCUUUUUGUUGAGAUGUAUUGACAUGUUUUAAAUGAUACUAUAUGGUUUUUGUGGACCUAACCAGUUUUUGGUGCUUUAAAGCGAAACGUUGUUCCAUUCUUGCCUGAAAUUUGAUUCUCAACAAUUGCAGAUCCUCUUGCCAAAUGCUUUUAAUAGGUGACCAGUUGGCACUACAAACAGGCCAGUUCAGCACCCAGACUCUUCUACUACAGAUCUAUACAACACAUGUUGUAAUUGUCUUGCCAAAAUAUGCAAAGUCUCCCUGUAAAAGCUUCUGUCUGAAUGGCAGCAUAUGUUGCUCCAAAACCUUUAAAGAUCAGAGUUUCCAUGAUUUCCAAAAAGAAUGUCAAAUUUAAGACUCAGCCUUCCUGGAGUGCUCUUUUUGUACCCCGUCACAUAGUUAAUCUGUUGCAAAUGAAUGUAAUGGGUUAUUAGUUUGGUGAUGCCCCUUCAGGUGAUUUCUUUUCAGCAUUUUACAGUUUGUUUUUGGUUCUGAAAUGUUCAUUAUCACACAGGCUUAUGCACCCUCUGGCCUUUACUGGUGUUGAGCCUGUCUGGGACAUUUUAAAGGUCAUGGCAGCUGAUGAGGAGCUGUUUAAUUGCCUGAUAACAUCAAAGAAAAAUAUAAACACAGGGUCAGGACCUACAGUGUUGUCCUGAUUGAUGCAAAAGUGUAUCUUGUUGGCACCAAAUAAUAUUCAAACUCACAGUAAAAAUCAAAUUUCCUGUCGGUACCCCCUGUCUCCUAGUGGCACUUGUGACACGAUGUAUCAUUCAUUAUAUGGUUGCCUUAUCAUCAUUAAUGUGGCCAUGGAUUGAAUAUUCUCUCAUUUUGAUUCCCACCCAUAAUAUUUAGUUUAUACACACCAGAGACUAACAGUUUACUGUGACCAAUGACACCAUCUCCUGUGGCAUCAUAGUUGUAGGUUCUGGGAUGUUGUAGCUCUGAUCAGCUCGCUGCAUCCCUCAGGAUUUCUUUUUUCUUUUUUUUGUAGCCCUUCUUGGUGUCAUCACUCCCCUAAUAAUUAAUUGUUCCUCAUCUGGGACUGUCUCCUCCUUUUUUCUGCUUUCAACGUCUCAGCCUGUUUGUCAUCUGGUCGCUCUGUGCUAUUUCGGUAUCUCUCCGUACAAACACUUGCAUCCAUCCAUUUGUAAUCUAAUAAAGAAAUGGCAGCAAUCUGUGUGUUCCUUUUGGGGGACUGGAUGACUUUGAGCACCAGAUGCUGAUGUUCCCCCAGAGUCGUUACCGUGAUGGAGCCGAUCCUUAACUGUCUCCAAUAAAGACACCCUCUUUCUCUCUCUCUCACACACGCACACAAAGAUACACACACCACCUCCUCUCGCUCACUCAGUGUGGAGGCAGGAUUAACCUGCUGGUAGCGGGGUAAAUCCAGCACUGCCUCUGCCUCUCUGUCUCUGUGUCUGAGGAGGCCUGGUUAUCCCUUCACACAAGCUCCCUGUUCAAAGGGGAGGCCGCCAGGGAUUAAUGAUGUGUUAAAGGGGCGAGCAUGGGGGAUUUAGAUGCUGCUUGCUGUAAGGACAGGAGAUUUAGGAACACGGACCAGUGGUUAGUGCUCACUGAAGUAUGAUUAGUUGGACAGUGUACCCCAAAGUGCACGACCACUCGCACGCACAACACAUGCACACACACACAAUGACAGACAGGUGUUAUAUUAUUAUCCUAUAAAGCCAGAGGAUGGUGUGGCAGUGAAAGGACAAUAGCACUGUGCUUGUCUUAUAGUAAAUAUACCGCUGUAGCUUUGCUAACCUAUGGGAAACAGAAGAAGCCAAGAGCAACAUGAAGACCAUGAUGUCCUCAUAAUAAUAAACCAGUUAACAUUAUAACUCGCCCACUCCUCUUGAUCCUGGAGUGGAUCAUUCAUCAGUGGUAGUAUCUCCACACCUGGACUAGCAGCUUUCGGUUACAUGAUAUACUCAUACUCUUUGCAUCAUUGGUAAUGUAGUUACCAUAACUCAAAGUUUGGACUUUUGCAGGAUGAGUAUUCGUGUCAUCAGAGUUAAGGUUGCAUUGGCUGUUGCUUGCAGAACACAACACUUGAAUCAUUUUGUUGCAUUAUGGGUACAAUAGUUGCCAAUUUUUAACAAAAAAGAGAGAUUAUUAUCAUAUUACUCAAAUUGUUGCUACGAUUUAAAAGCAUUUAUGUGUUCAUCCUCUUUCAAACAGAAACUGGACAUUUUGAGUGCAGUACAGUUCCAAGAGUUCAGCGUUAAAUCUGCAGUGAAUUGUUCUAAAAUCUGACUCAAACGUUCACGUUAUGCAUUGCGUGUGUGUAAGUGCAUGGAUGUUAAAGUUAGUUAUUGUGGGGGCGUAUAACAUUAAAGAUCAGUGGAUAAUGUAGGAAGUUGUGUGUGUCUGUGUGUGUCUGUGUGUGUGUGAAAGGGGAGUGAGAGCAGAAAGGAUGGAGGACUGAACAGAGAGAGCUGCAGUGAGAUGAAGAGACAUAUGUACAGGUGCUGAUAGCCGGUCGGGAUCAGUGCACAGAGCAAGAUGUUAAGGCUGGGUUUUUCAACUGCUCCCCACUCUCCACCUCCACCUCAGUCAAGCCUUCCUCACACCAUCUUAAUCCCCCUUCCUCGAUAAACCACUUGGCCCCCCAUACACAAGCACACGAAUCCA
rnacentral:lncRNA from 1 species